rnacentral:rRNA from 1 species
AGCUCGAUGAGUAGGGCGGGACACGUGGUAUCCUGUCUGAAUAUGGGGGGACCAUCCUCCAAGGCUAAAUACUCCUGACUGACCGAUAGUGAACCAGUACCGUGAGGGAAAGGCGAAAAGAACCCCGGCGAGGGGAGUGAAAAAGAACCUGAAACCGUGUACGUACAAGCAGUGGGAGCCCCACCACUAAGCCAGUGGUGAACUCCACAUACGCAUCCUUUGCUGAGGAUACGGUUAACGGAGCGAAAGCGACGUUCAACCGCAAAAGAAGCAGAGGGGGCUUAGUGGUGGGGUGACUGCGUACCUUUUGUAUAAUGGGUCAGCGACUUAUAUUCUGUAGCAAGGUUAACCGAAUAGGGGAGCCGGAGGGAAACCGAGUCUUAACCGGGCGUUAAGUUGCAGGGUAUAGACCCGAAACCCGGUGAUCUAGCCAUGGGCAGGUUGAAGGUUGGGUAACACUAACUGGAGGACCGAACCGACUAAUGUUGAAAAAUUAGCGGAUGACCUGUGGCUGGGGGUGAAAGGCCAAUCAAACCGGGAGAUAGCUGGUUCUCCCCGAAAGCUAUUUAGGUAGCGCCUCGUGAAUUCAUCUCCGGGGGUAGAGCACUGUUUCGGCUAGGGGGCCAUCCCGGCUUACCAACCCGAUGCAAACUGCGAAUACCGGAGAAUGUUAUCACGGGAGACACACGGCGGGUGCUAACGUCCGUCGUGAAGAGGGAAACAACCCAGACCGCCAGCUAAGGUCCCAAAGUCAUGGUUAAGUGGGAAACGAUGUGGGAAGGCCCAGACAGCCAGGAUGUUGGCUUAGAAGCAGCCAUCAUUUAAAGAAAGCGUAAUAGCUCACUGGUCGAGUCGGCCUGCGCGGAAGAUGUAACGGGGCUAAACCAUGCACCGAAGCUGCGGCAGCGAACGUAUCACUUAAAGCGAUUCAGCGGGUUACGAUUGACG